UUACUGUGACGAAUAAAAAGAGUUGCAGACUGCGCUUGCGUGGUCCCGUGUCAUGCGUCUGGUCUGAGCCAGACACCACAUAUUGGCGACGAGGGUCAGUAUCGGAGCCAUGCCGCUCGGGUGUUUCCCAGCACCGCCCCCUUUCUUGCCUGCACCCGGUGACCCGGCUGUACCUUGGCAGCAGUGGAAACGCGUAUUCCUGAAUUUCCUGGAGGCCAUUGGCGGCGAUGAACUGCAGCCGAAGCGUCGCAAGGCAAUUCUGCUCAACUCGCUCGGGGUUGAAGGCCAGCGAAUAUUCUACAGCAUCCUUGCACAAGGAGCAGACGUGACCGCGGACGCCAAGGCCGAGGACAAGGUGGACCAGUUCAAGGACGCGCUUGCUACACUGGAUACGCAUUUCGCAAGCGCUACGAAUGAUUUGGUGGAGCGGCGCCGGUUUCGCCAAAGAAGACAACUGCCUGAUGCUUCUGAUAAGGGACUGGGAGCCGUUCUUCAGCAACGCGAUGGUGACAGCGUACGCACGGUGGCCUUCGCAUCGCGUGCCCUGACUCCUGCUGAGCGGAAGUACUCCGCUGGGGAACGUGAGGCCCUUGCUUGUCUCUUCGCGUGCGAGCGCUGGCACGUCUACUUGUGGGGUAGAAAAUUUUUGUUGCGUACGGACCAUCAGGCACUAGUGACGUUACUUUCAGCUGCCGGUACAGGACGCCGACCUUUGCGUAUAUCCAGAUGGUCAGCUCGACUUUUGUAUUAUAACUUCGACAUAGAGUACCAUAAGGGAUCGCAAAAUAUCGUGGCAGAUGCGCUUUCACGCCUACCUCUUGACUGUGAUUCGCUGCAGACGAUGCAGGAAGAAAUUGUGUCCGUUGUAUCAGAGUGCCUAACAAAGGAACGGCUGCAGGUGGCCACUGCUGCAGACAGCACACUGCAACAGGUUGUUGUACACGUGGUACAUGGUUGGGCGCCUAGAAAAGCUUUGCCAGCAGAAAUAAUGCCGUACUUUAACGUGCGGGAAGAGCUUUCUUUCGUUGAUGGCCUUUUGAUGCGCGGCGAGCAGGUAGUUGUUCCGAGUGAAUUAACCUCGCUCCUUGUUGGUUUUGCGCACGAAGGUCACCCAGGAAUUGUGAGGACGAAGCAGAGACUACGUGAUCUUUACUGGUGGCCGCGUUUGAAUAAACAAGUAGAAGAAGCAAUCCAUUUUUGUCAUAUCUGCCAGGCCGCGGACAAGUCCGCUAAACCGUCGUUUGCACCGCUGCAGCCGGUGACGUUUACAGCGCUACCAUGGCAGAAGUUAGCAAUGGAUAUAGUGGGACCGAUUGACUGGGCCCCUUCAAACUGUAGGUACAUGAUAUCGCUGAUCGAUUAUCAUUCCAAGUGGCCUGAGGUUGCCUUUUCAUCUACAGUGACGUCACAGAGCGUGGUCGAUUUUUUGCAGACUGUGUUCAGCCGAGAAGGCUAUCCGGAAGAAAUUGUCACAGAUAAUGGGCCUCAGUUUAGAUCGCAAAUGUUCGAAACAUUCUUGAGAGAGAGGGGUAUUGUGCAUCGUUGUUCUUCUCUGUACUAUCCACAAGGAAACGGCGCGAUUGAACGCUUUAAUCGCGUGCUGAAAGAUUUCAUGCAGGUUGCCCGACUGGAACAACGGCCCCUCCAGGCUGCUGUGGUUGACUAUCUCGGCAUAUAUAGGUCGACGCCGCAUGCGACAACGGGUGUGUCGCCAGCCAAGUUGCUUCACGGGCGCCAGCCAAGGACAAGACUCAAUACAGUGGGUUUGCCGACAAGAGAGGGCGUCCAUGCCAGUUCGAAUAAGAAUGUUCCUGCUAGGGUUAAGGCGAAGCAGACGUAUGCAAAGCAGUAUACGGACAGGAGGCGAGGUGCGAAAAGACCAGCCUUUUGUGUAGGGGACUUCGUUCGUGUACGCAAGCCAGCAGGCGGUGAAAAAGCGUCGGUAAACUACAUGGGCCCUUUCAAGAUUGUCGGCAGAAAAGGCAAAAAUAGCUUUUUGAUGAGCGACGGUCGUUGCUGGAACGCGUCUAAACUAGUUCGGGUUCCCUGCAAUCAAUCGCAGACAACAGAACAAUGGGCAUGGGAAUUGCCUCACGACUACUCGGGUACCGCUGGGGCUGAAAGCCGCGCAGACGCUGAACAUGGUGAACUGUUGCGAUCGCCGGAAACAAGGGCUGAAGUUAAUGAAGAAGUGGUCGCUCCUUUAGAGGAUUCGGCGGAGCAACCUUUGCGUCGCAGCACUAGGGUACGCCGACCUGUCGAAAGAUUUGGGUUUUCUUUACCUGAACAAUAAGUGUUUAGUUCGUGUUAUUUUGGUUGUUGCAAAUUACUAUGUUGUAUUUCAAGCGGGAGGUGAUGUUGUAUCCUUCUUUCUUGUUUCAGUUUCAUUUCCUUCAGUGUACAUAUCGUCAUCGUCAUUCAAUAUGAUUUCCUAUAUAAGUUGCUUUACUGUGACGAAUAAAAAGAGUUGCAGACUGCG